GUAGGGAAUAUUGGGCAAUGGAGGCAACUCUGACCCAGCUAUGCCGCGUGCAGGAUGACGGCCCUCUGGGUUGUAAACUGCUUUUAUACGGGAAGAAAAAAUACUACGUGUAGUAUACUGACGGUACCGUAAGAAUAAGGAUCGGCUAACUCCGUGCCAGCAGCCGCGGUAAUACGGAGGAUCCAAGCGUUGUCCGGAUUUAUUGGGUUUAAAGGGUGCGUAGGCGGAUCUUUAAGUCAGUGGUGAAAGCCUGCAGCUUAACUGUAGAAUUGCCAUUGAAACUGAAGAUCUUGAAUGUGGUUAAAGUAGGCGGAAUGUAUCAUGUAGCGGUGAAAUGCUUAGAUAUGAUACAGAACACCGAUAGCGAAGGCAGCUUGCUGAACCAUUAUUGACGCUGAGGCACGAAAGCGUGGGGAGCGAACAGGAUUAGAUACCCCUGUAGUCC
rnacentral:rRNA from 1 species